CUCAUGUCUGAAGUGAAGGGAGGUUGCAGUUGGUCCUAAUUCAGCCUGGUUCAAAGUGAGGUCCUCGCUCACCUACCUCUGUAUCUGUGUGUGUGUGUGUGUAUGUGUGUGUGUGUAGGUUAUUAAAAUACAGAUCCUUGAGUCAGAAUUUUUGCUGAUUGACAUGGUAACGUACAUUUAUAACAAACUUCCCUUGAUAAUUCUGAUGCAUGCUAGAG
rnacentral:lncRNA from 1 species